rnacentral:rRNA from 1 species
GACAGAGGGUGCAAACGUUGUUCGGAAUUAUUGGGCGUAAAGAGCUCGUAGGCGGUUUGUCGCGUCUAUCGUGAAAGUCCGAGGCUCAACCUCGGAUCUGCGGUGGGUACGGGCAGACUAGAGUGAUGUAGGGGGAGACUGGAAUUCCUGGUGUAGCGGUGAAAUGCGCAGAUAUCAGGAGGAACACCGAUGGCGAAGGCAGGUCUCUGGGCAUUAACUGACGCUGAGGAGCGAAAGCAUGGGGAGCGAACAGG